rnacentral:rRNA from 1 species
UCACUUUCAACAACGGAUCUCUUGGCUCUCGCAUCGAUAAAAAACGUAGCGAAGUGCGAUAAGUAAUGUGAAUUGCAGAAUUCCGUGAAUCAUCGAAUCUUUGAACGCAAAUUGCACUCUCUGGCAUUCCGGAAAGUAUGCCUGUUUGAGGGUCAGUA